UACUGUCACAGUGUGACAAAUGGCGUGUGGAACUUAUUCCCGCUGAAGCAGUGUUCCCGGGGGAACGCUUUGAGUGUAACUCUGUUCCCAGGCCUGUGUGUGUGUUUGUUGCUGUGACAACCCCAAAUGAUGGAUUGGCAACAGGUGUGGGGGAUUUACUCAGAGUUUGCGUGAGGCCUCAUCAACAGUGGAGAGGAUAAAAAGCAAGAGAGAGAGGUGGUGCGUGUGGUUUUUCUCCCUCGUGAAAAGUCGUUUUAUUGGGUGGUAAUAGUGGCUGGAGGACGGGUGAAUGAAGUGGAAAGUGUUGCUUUGCUGAGGGAUUCGAGGACAACAGAAGGAGAGUGAAAUACCCUGUUUGCAUUGGAGAGGAGCUAAGUAACUGAGAACUGAGUCUUGUAAUUGCACACGUUUGACACUGAAUUGGAUGUGGUUUGGAGUGUUUGGAUCACGAUCAUAAAUAUCACUGAGUGGAUUGUAUUGAUUCAUUACCGAUCUCUUACCUCUCCCUCCUCUAUAAAUGGUGAUGUGAACUCUGCCUGUGACUGUGAAGAAGAACAUCUCAGAACAUCCUCCGUGGCAGUGAGGAUUGCGCCCUCCCCCUUCCCUUCGGACAGAAACCCGAAUGAGAAGAGAUGCCCUGUUGAAAUAUUUACUAUCUGCCUCAGAAAAGCUCUGUGCAACCUGUUGACUUCGAGUCUGCUGUAUUCCUGCCAUUCAACUGUAUGGUGAGAGGUGUUCGCUCCUUCCAAUACAUGUGAAUUGUAUACUUGCCUGAAACAUCCAGUCUGUCCGUCUCAGAAGAAGCCCCAUUCAGCCUGUUGACUUCGAGUCUGCUGUAUCCCUGCCAUUCAACUGUAUGGUGAGAAGUGUUCGCUCCUUCCAAUGCAUGUGAACUGUAUACUUGCCUGAAACAUCCAUUCUGUCUGUCUCAGAAGAAGCCCCAUUCAGCCUGUUGACUUCGAGCCUGCUGUAUCCCUGCUACUCAUCUGUAUGAGGAAGCCCCAUUCAGCCUGUUGACUUCGAGUCUGUUGUAUCCCUGCUAUUCAUCCGUAUUGUGAGAAGUGUUCGUUCCUUCCAACGCAUGUGAACUGUAUACUUUGUCUGAAGCAUCCAUUCUGUCUGUUUCAGUAGAAACCCUGCACAGCCUGUUGACUUAGAGUUUGUUGCAUCCUUGUGGCCCACCUGUGCUGAGAGAGGUGACUGUCCUUUGUCACGAACGUGAGAGGGGCACGCUUUGUCUGGAAUAUCCACUCUGACGGUGUCAGGAGAAGCCACCUUACUGAAGACCGUGCACCUGCCGUAUACGUACUUGACUGAUAUCAUUCGCCUCAAAUUCCGUACCUGUGGAAGAAGGAAGGAAGGCUGGAAUUACAUACUUACCGGAGGAGACUUACCGGACCCCUCACUUGCCAAACACAUCCCCACCUCAAGGCUGUGUAUCUGCCGUGUACGGACCUGACCGAUAUCCAUCCGUCCCAAAUUCUGCAUCUGUGAAGAAGGGAAGGGAGUUUGGAAGUAUUUAAUUACCAGAGGAGACUUACCAGACUGCGGGCUUGCCGAUUGUAUUCCCACCUGUGAAAUACCUACUUGACCACCCAUCUGUCCAUCUAUUGCGGGGCCCGCACAGAGGAAGAGGGCGGGAGAGUCCCCGGUCGCUGCAUUGUUUACCUUCAAGCCCUGAGGGUAACAAAGAAGAUUUUAGUUUAGGAUUCCCAAUUUGUUUUUACUUCAAAAUAAAACUUGUUAAAUUUA